CGGCGGACGGGUGAGUAACGCGUGGGUAACCUGCCUCCUACAGGGGGAUAACAGUUGGAAACGGCUGCUAAUACCGCAUAAGCGCACAGUACCGCAUGGUACCGUGUGAAAAACUCCGGUGGUAUGAGAUGGACCCGCGUCUGAUUAGGUAGUUGGUGGGGUAACGGCCUACCAAGCCGACGAUCAGUAGCCGACCUGAGAGGGUGACCGGCCACAUUGGGACUGAGACAUGGCCCAA
rnacentral:rRNA from 1 species